rnacentral:rRNA from 1 species
CCGGACCUGACUGCUAUCGGAUUGGUACUAAGCCAUGCGAGUCAUUGUAGCAAUACAAGGCGGACGGCUCAGUAACACGUAGUCAACCUAGCUCGUGGACGUGGAUAACCUCGGGAAACUGAGAAUAAACCACGAUAGAUCAUAGUGCCUGGAAUGGCUUAUGGUCCAAACAGUUUACUGCCAUGGGAUGGGACUGCGGCCUAUCAGCUUGUUGGUGAGGUAAUGGCCCACCAAGGCGAUUACAGGUACGGGCUCUGAGAGGAGAAGCCCGGAGAUGGGUACUGAGACACGGACCCAGGCCCUAUGGGGCGCAGCAGGCGAGAAACCUUAGCAAUGUGCGAAAGCACGACUGGGUCAGUCCGAGUGAUUCCUGAUAAAGGAGUCUUUUGCCUGUCCUAAAAACACAGGUGAAUAAGGGGUGGGCAAGUCUGGUGUCAGCCGCCGCGGUAAUACCAGCACCUCGAGUGGUCAGGACGUUUAUUGGGCCUAAAGCAUCCGUAGCCGGCUUUGCAAGUCUCCGGUUAAAUCCACCUGCUCAACAGAUGGGCCGCUGGAGAUACUACAGAGCUAGGGAGUGGGAGAGGCAGACGGUAUUCAGUGGGUAGGGGUAAAAUCCUCUGAUCCAUUGAGGACCACCAGUGGCGAAGGCGGUCUGCCAGAACACGUUCGACGGUGAGGGAUGAAAGCUGGGGGAGCAAACCGGAUUAGAUACCCGGGUAGUCCCAGCUGUAAACGAUGCAAACUCGGUGAUGCAUUGGCUUAUGGGCCAAUGCAGUGCCGCAGGGAAGCCGUUAAGUUUGCCGCCUGGGAAGUACGGACGCAAGUCUGAACUUAAAGGAAUUGGCGGGGGAGCAC